CAGGAUAAUUUUUCUAUAUUAGAUGUAGUUUAGUUAUUUUAUUUUCUAUUUUGUUAAAUCUAAUUUUAUUUUGUUUUAUUUAAAGAUCUAAUUUAAAAAUCCUCCUUUGUUUUACUUUUUCGACACUAACCGGGCGAGAGCAGGGUUGUUCUCGCGAGGGUUUAAAGUCAUGCGACAGCUGCACGUCAGUCCUAAAUUGACAGCCACUGCUUAUAUUGCUGCUAAAUCGCACCUUGGGUAGCAGACGCUGUGGGACUGUGACGUGCAGGUAGGCUUGGGUGUUGUUCCCAAAGCGGUUUUGCUUUUGAAUGUCGAUUAUACAUCAAUCGUAUACCUCUGUUAAAUUACAGACAUAUGGUCGCUCAUCUGAACGUUGAAACGAUCUCUGUUUGUUAAAAGAGGAACUGGCCAGGUGUGUUCCAGAUCCCACCCCCGCUCGGAGUAACUGAAGGAUCUGGGACACAUUAAGAAUUGUCUGGUUUUUGUAUAUUGACCGGACUGGCGAGCUAACCAUAGCGGAUUCAGAAAGUCACCCAUAAUCUGAGGAAACAUCUCCAAACCAGAAGGGAAAUUCAACCAACCACUUCACAGCUGGAACUAAAUGACUAUUUUUGUUUUUUCCCUUCCGUCACCGACAGAGACUUCCUUGGUUUAAGGAACUGGACUUUAAAGCUGUGAAACAAUUUGUAUAUAUUGUAAAUAUAAAUACACCUCAUUGAUUUUUGCACUCUCCAGUUGUAUGUGUCUUGCAAUUUGCCACUACCUCCAGUAGACGAACCUGGAACCUAGUUUUUCACUUAGAGUGACGUUGAUUUGGGUUUUUUAAUAAUCUUAAAAUGUAACUCGGGUUACAUAGCUUGGCGAGCUAGCCAGGAGGUUGUUGGCAUUUUGUAAACACAAAUCAUUGUUUUUUUGUCAUCAACAAUAUGGAUGAGUUUCAAAAACUCGACAUAAAAAUUCCCAACUCUGUUUUGGUUGAAGGCAUUUCAGAUGAAGAUAGUAAAGAGGAAGUAUUUGACUUUUUGAAACAAUAUGGGAAGAUAACAAAGACUGAAAUCAUUUCUGAAGCUGAUUCUGAGUUUGAGGGCCAGCUUGUGGUUGAAUUUAGCAGUGGUACAGCAGUAGCUGAAUUGCGUUCCAUUCUACCAUAUUCAUUCAAAUCAUCUGAAAAGUCAGACACAUUUUUCAUCUCUGAAUUAGCUGUUGUAUAUGCAGAACAUGUUUCACAGAGUAAAACUCAUUCUUAUUUA